rnacentral:rRNA from 1 species
CCUACGGGGAGCAGCAGUGAGGAAUAUUGGUCAAUGGGCGCGAGCCUGAACCAGCCAAGUAGCGUGAAGGAUGAAUGCCCUACGGGUUGUAAACUUCUUUUAUAAAGGAAUAAAGUGAGGCACGUGUGCCUUUUUGUAUGUACUUUAUGAAUAAGGAUCGGCUAACGACGUGCCAGCAGCCGCGGUAAUACGGAGGAUCCGAGCGUUAUCCGGAUUUAUUGGGAUUAAAGGGAGCGUAGAUGGGUUGUUAAGUCAGUUGUGAAAGUUUGCGGCUCAACCGUAAAAUUGCAAUUGAUACUGGCAGCCUUGAGUACAGUUGAGGUAGGCGGAAUGCGUGGUGUAGCGGUGAAAUGCUUAGAUAUCACGAAGAACUCCGAUUGCGAAGGCAGCUUACUAAACUGCCACUGACAUUGAUGCUCGAAAGUGUGGGUAUCAAACAGGAUUAGAUACCCUUGUAGUC